GAUGAACGCUGGCGGCGUGCCUAAUACAUGCAAGUCGAGCGAACGGACGAUAAGCUUGCUUCUCUGAUGUUAGCGGCGGACGGGUGAGUAACACGUGGAUAACCUACCUAUAAGACUGGGAUAACUUCGGGAAACCGGAGCUAAUACCGGAUAAUAUUCUGAACCGCAUGGUUCAAAAGUGAAAGACGGCCUUGCUGUCACUUAUAGAUGGAUCCGCGCUGCAUUAGCUAGUUGGUAAGGUAACGGCUUACCAAGGCAACGAUGCAUAGCCGACCUGAGAGGGUGAUCGGCCACACUGGAACUGAGACACGGUCCAGACUCCUACGGGAGGCAGCAGUAGGGAAUCUUCCACAAUGGGCGCAAGCCUGACGGAGCAACGCCGCGUGAGUGAUGAAGGUCUUCGGAUCGUAAAACUCUUUUGUUAGGGAAGAACAUAUGUGUAAUUAACUGUGCACAUCUUGACGGUACCUGAUCAGAAAGCACCGGCUAACUACGUG
rnacentral:rRNA from 1 species